GAGUGAACGCUGGCGGUAGGCCUAACACAUGCAAGUCGAACGGCAGCACAGUAAGAGCUUGCUCUUACGGGUGGCGAGUGGCGGACGGGUGAGGAAUACAUCGGAAUCUACUUUUUCGUGGGGGAAAACGUAGGGAAACUUACGCUAAUACCGCAUACGACCUACGGGUGAAAGCAGGGGAUCUUCGGACCUUGCGCGAUUGAAUGAGCCGAUGUCGGAUUAGCUAGUUGGCGGGGUAAAGGCCCACCAAGGCGACGAUCCGUAGCUGGUCUGAGAGGAUGAUCAGCCACACUGGAACUGAGACACGGUCCAGACUCCUACGGGAGGCAGCAGUGGGGAAUAUUGGACAAUGGGCGCAAGCCUGAUCCAGCCAUACCGCGUGGGUGAAGAAGGCCUUCGGGUUGUAAAGCCCUUUUGUUGGGAAAGAAAAGCAGCAGGUUAAUACCCCGCUGUUCUGACGGUACCCAAAGAAUAAGCACCGGCUAACUUCGUG
rnacentral:rRNA from 1 species